UGCUCCGCAGGCUUGGACAAGAAGCCACGACACAGGUGCCAUGUGUGCCAUCGACCAGUGAGUCCACGCCAUUGCUACCCUGCGUGUCCUGACUGCAUGUAAGGAAUAGGCCAUAAUGAGACAGUUGGUAGAUGAAGCCACUGAACAUUUAGCAAAUCGGCGUGUCAAAUACAUUGAUUUUGGCUGUGGAGUCAUUUUUACACCAGAAGCAGUCACUCGAAGAAAUGGGAGAAAAUCACCGGCUCUAAACUUGCUGUUUAACACCACCAAGCCGACUGCAUCACAGUUUUGCGGCUGGGCAGGGUGAUGGAUAGGCUGUUACACAACAUCUUCCAAGUCACCUCUGUCAAUAAGAUGUCUUGGAAGCGUACCGAUAUUUCAGAAAGUAAGCCGGAUGUUAAUUCUUUAACCUGUUGUGAUCUGCGGGAGGGAGCAGCCAUUCACAGAUGGAGAAUAUAUGAAAGAAUCGUUCAUAAAACUAUCAGACUUUCAAAACAAACGGGAAAUUGUUCAGAAAAUUAGAGAAAGGCCUCUCUCCGCAAAGACCGUUAGAGACAGGACCAUUAAAACAUCAGCCGUAAGCAAAUGAAUGACAUCAAUUCAGCUCAAGCAUUUUCAAUUGCCUGUGAGUCAAAUGAUGUAAACGAUGUUGAGCAGACAGCACUGUUUUGCAGAUAUGUCAACUCCGACGGGCUGCAGGAAGAACUGACUGGACUCAUACCGCUGUCAGUCAUACUGUCAGUGUCUACUGAUGGGACACACAGUACGAGAGGAGCGCAGAAGGACUUUGUGAAUUUACUUCGAAAGCCACUGGAUCAAGAGCUGAUGACGUUUCACUGCAUCCUCAUGUCCUGUUGUAUAAGGUGCACGUGAUUUACGAUGAUGAGAGGAUAACAUUGUCACUGCUCCUAUUCUUGAGUCUCUGAGCCACUUAAACACCAAACUACUUGUCCACUCUGGGGGUGUCAUGGUCCGUAUCCAGGGAGUGUUCAGGUCGCCUCAAUGGCCAUGCCCUCAGGUUGGGCCAUCAGCAUUGCACCUACACUCCAUCCCAGGCAAUUACAGGAGAACUAUUUCUCCCAGUGCGGACGGCUGCUCCACGCCAGUCCGUUAGUCACUCUUGAUAGUAACUUGGCUCUCCUAAGCUCUAAGUUUAUUCAAGCAUUCUUUGACCUGUGUUAAUAUUACGCCCUUGUGCUCAGGUCGCCAUCGGGUAAUUGAAAACGUCCCCAGCCUGUCCACCUGCCUGUUCUGCGUGCAAGAGAACUCCCUCAGUCUCCGUCUCUUUUCUCCCAUGGAGACCCUCCCCUUUGAGCCCCACAGUUUGGCUCUAAUUGUAAGCUGCAGCAUUCUAAUUCUUAUUCAGAUUUAUAUCUCUGCUUUCCUGCACACAAGUACUUGUUCCCCUUUCUGUGUCAGCUUCCCACAGUCCCGAUCACGGCUUCCCAGGGCGUUUCAGUUCCCAGUUUCCUCAGCUUCAGUUAUAUUUUCGUUCCCUUGGUUGUUCCUCAUCAUUUUUGUUAAACAAAUAAAUCUGUACAUAGUUUCAGGGUUCCUGGCUUGUUGACCCAGUGUUUUCACUUUGUUCAUGUUCUGAUUUUUUUCCCCCCACAUGUUCAUAAUUACUGUUUAAUUAUUUUGGCCUCAGUCUAUGUGUACUAUGUUCCAGUUCUACUUCCUAUGUGUUAUUGGUCAGAUUAGGGUUCAGCUGUGUACUCACU